CAGACUCUCAUAUCAGUUUUUGUUUUCGUUAGCAUAUUGUAAACGCAGACGAUUUUUAUCCUUAAUGAAAUAAUUCACGUGGCAGGUGCUAUUUCUAUUUUAUUAGCAUUUGUACUUUCAUUGUAAAUUCUCAGUUUGCAAGUUGUUACCGCCAUUUUUUCCAUUUUACAUAAGUCAGUAAAAUCUUUUAGAAUAUUAUGCCCAUACAACUGCAGUGCUAAAAUUUUACCAUAUUCGAAACGGUAAACUCCACUUUUCUGCUGCAGUAUUCAAACAAGAUAUUGACAUAAAAGACAUGAUAAUUCGGAAAUUUGAGUUCAGAAGAACAAAGAUUGAGGGUCCAGGACUCAGGAAUAUCCAGAGAAACAACCUUAAUACGAUGCCGCAACACAGAUUUCAUGUCAAGGAAUUAUUAUCUCAAUUUUCCUUUGCACAAUAUCUUGGAUUAAUUGAAAGAACUUUUUAAGUUUACACAACACGGAGACAUACAGGACAGAAUCCAAUUAUUUAGAAUAACUUACUGGGAGAUCUAGGAAUCCAAGAAAAUGUUGAUUCAAGAGGAUGUGACCAACAAGGAGUAUCAAUUGAGGGUCCCGGCAAUCGUUCUUCUAAAAUUCUGUCCACUGAGAAUUGUUUUGGAAUAUGUGUUUUUCUAGUAUCUGCUAAUAAAUAGUCCACAGAAAAAGAUAUACACGAUUUCGACUCUUCCAUAUCCACGCUACAACUUAGCUGCAUAUUCCUUGGAUUUGAACACACAUUUUUUCCAUGAAAAAUAUUUGCCGAACUGUUUGGAAUCUUUCUUCACGGUGUUUUCUUUGAGGGCGGUAGAAAGUUCUCUUAUUGGAUGGGAGUGUUGACGCCUUCGUUGUGGGAGGAGCACGUCAAUGGAGCAAUCAAAAAGGGGGAAUGCAUGUCACUCUUAAUUAAGAUAUCGUUCCAAAGGAACCGGUGAUUAUUUCUAAGAGUGGCAGGUGAACUGACACCUUACCACUCAUUACGAUUUUCGUUUCGAACCCUAUGUAAUUAGUUGUUUCUCCCAAACAAUAAUAGAAUAUUAUUGUAAUUUUUUUCGAGCCUAAUUAAAAACGACUAAUUAUA